rnacentral:rRNA from 1 species
GAGCGAACGCUGGCGGCAGGCCUAACCCAUGCAAGUCGAACGGAUCCUUCGGGAUUAGUGGCGGACGGGUGAGUAACACGUGGGAACGUGCCCUUUGGUUCGGAACAACUCAGGGAAACUUGAGCUAAUACCGGAUGUGCCCUUCGGGGGAAAGAUUUAUCGCCAUUGGAGCGGCCCGCGUCUGAUUAGCUAGUUGGUGAGGUAACGGCCCACCAAGGCGACGAUCAGUAGCUGGUCUGAGAGGAUGAUCAGCCACACUGGGACUGAGACACGGCCCAGACUCCUACGGGAGGCAGCAGUGGGGAAUCUUGCGCAAUGGGCGAAAGCCUGACGCAGCCAUGCCGCGUGAAUGAUGAAGGUCUUAGGAUUGUAAAAUUCUUUCAGCGGGGACGAUAAUGACGGUACCCGCAGAAGAAGCUCCGGCUAACUUCGUG